CAAAUCAUAGCAUAAAUAAUGUAUUACGGAUUGUGGUACGGUAGAAAAUAAAGAAACAGGAGGGAUCGGAGCAUUUCCGUUUGAACAGCGCCGCCUAACUCAGCAACCAUAACGAACAAUUGUUGGAAGGGAACACACACCGAAUCCAUCACACACUGGUUGCUCCCCUUCGAAUGCGGAGUCGUUAAUCCGGGGAAAGCGUCGUUCAGGAUUUGGUGGGAAUGGUUAAAACCAAGCACCAAAAGUCCAACUCCAAGCGACACCCACAAAACAAAAAGCCUGGAAAGUCACCUGAUAUUUCUCAGUUUCGUGCUCAGCUUGACUUAUUGAACCUCCAAAUCGUUCAAGUGACUGCAGAUGGUAAUUGUUUUUUCAGGGCCCUUGCAGAUCAGUUAGAUGGCGAUCAAGAGGAACAUGGAAAGUAUCGGAAGAUGGUUGUUCAAUAUAUUUUGAAGAACCGUGAAAUGUUUGAGCCAUUUAUUGAGGAUGAUGUCCCAUUUGAUGAAUAUUGUGAUUCCAUGGAAAAGGAUGGUACCUGGGCUGGGCAUCUAGAACUGCAGGCUGCUUCUCUUGUUACUCAUUGUAACAUAUGCAUUCACAGGAUGUCAUCACCUCGUUGGUACAUACGAAAUUUCGAGGAUCGAGAAGCUCGUAUGGUCCACUUAUCCUAUCAUGACGAGGAACAUUAUAAUAGUGUGCGGUCGAAGGAAGACACGUGCGCUGGUCCAGCCAGGUUAAUCAUAAUCAAAGGUGACACUGUUCCUUCACCGAUCUCACUUCAAAGAAAAGUUCUCUCUAAUUCUCAAAAGAGGGGUGAAACUGCUACUAGUCCUGGAAAUGUUAAAUUAGUUAUGGCAGGUAGUGGUUGUCAAAAUUCUAAAAAAGUAGAAAAGGUUUUGGUCCAAGUCAAUGGUGAUGUUGAUGCUGCAAUCGAGUUUCUGGUAGCAGAACAAGCAGCAGAAGAACACGAAGAGCCAUCUGAAUCAACUUUGAGUGAUGUAGAUUGUUCUUUUGGUAACAAUGAGACAAAAGCUUAUGAGCAAUUGGAAGAGCGAAUGGAAGAGAAGCACGGUGAAGUUGAUUCAUCUAGUCAAAACACUAAACAUUCUAACUGUAGCAGUUUUCAAUUGGAUGACAAGAGGGUCCCAAGGAAUAGACUCUGCCCAUGUGGCUCAAAAAAGAAACAUAAAGCUUGCUGUGGAUCAGUUGCUGCCAGUUCGUCUGGAAUAAAACUAUCGACUCUAAGAGGACUAGAAAGGAAAGGAAAGCGGCCAAGAAAGGUGGACCUGCUAAAGUUGAAGUGUCCACCGGAUCAGAUGGAUUGCCACAUGACUUGGGAGCUCUUUGCAUUUGAUCUUCAUCUGGCUGAGGCAUGUUAGCUGCAGCUUAUAGAGAGUUCGGAAUCACUGGAUACAACUAUAUUUGGAAAAUAGAGAGUAAAAUUGAAAAGCAUAACAAAGAAACUUUUCGGAGAGGGGGGAAAAGACAUGACAAAAAAGAACAGGCUUCUUGUCAUGUUUUAAAGAGUCUUUUUUGCAUAACCGAAAUGUUGGUAUAAUCUUCAAGCUCGGGAUAGAUGAUAGUGUAAUCUAUCAUUGAUUGGAUGUGGGUUUUGCCACUAGAAUAUGCCAGUGGUAAUUGGGAAAAUGAAAAACGUUGGCUUCCUCAUUGCGUCUAUGCAAGCCUAGAUAUCUGCUGAAGCCAACUUGACUUGAAGUAUAAUUAUAGAAGCAGUAGCUCACAAAAUGGAGCUUGUGCUUCCUGCCAAAGUUCAAAUUCACCCAUCUCCUGGGGAUAAUGUUGCAAUCGUAACAACAGUACAUUGAAGUUAUAGUAUGGUUAAUCAGUCAACCUAAGAUCAAUAUCUUCAGUUAAUAGUAUUGCAAAAUAGAACAAGUGAAAUCACGCACCCACUGUAUACGCAAAAUAUGAUUACAAGAAAAGAUUGAUGAGGUUUAGCUAAAGGUAUAUACUUUGACUUGUCGUAGACUAUGCUAGAAAACUAGCAUUCGAAAUCUAUUUUUAAUGCACUUGAAUUCUGCAGUAUUCCUGUAAUUAUCUGGUGCAUUAUCAUUUAUGUGGCUCUGGUCAAAUUGUAUUGAGCUAUGAUUCAUAUACCGUUCCCUCCCUUGGUUUCUUGGUUACUGAGACUCCAAGAAAAAGUAUUGCCUUUUAUUCUUUCAAGGUUUAUGGGACUCCUGUAAAGCUUGAUCUCCGAAACUACCAGGAAUGGGAAGAGUUGAGUCUGUUCAACUGGGGAGAAUUUUGAACCAAGAUUAGUCAGCAAGGUCAGUCAUGAACUGCUGAAGCUACAGAAAUCCUUUGGUUUUCCAUUCCCAUUUUUUAGAACAGUUGAGCUGAAGGUUCAUUUCUAAAGAAUGUAAAACACAGUGGACAAUCUUGCCAUUUUAAGGAGACCUCACUUCUACAUCUUGUUUGUACUCCUUGCUCUUAUAAACACAGCUGCAGUGGACAUUACAAUGUCCGGUUUGAACUAAAGUGUAGAUUCAUUUAAAAGUAAUGUUGAUAGCAACAGCUAUAUCGAUGUUUGAAAA